rnacentral:rRNA from 1 species
GUUCGGUUAAGUCCGCUAACGAGCGCAACCCUCGCUGUGUGUUACAAGUGUCACACGGAACUGCCGGUCAUAAACCGGAGGAAGUGGGGAUGACGUCAAGUCAGCAUGGCCUUUAUAUCCUGGGCUACACACACGCUACAAUGGUCUGUACAACAGGUUGCCAAACCGCGAGGUGGAGCCAAUCCCUAAAACAGGCCUCAGUUCAGAUUGCAGGCUGCAACCCGCCUGCAUGAAGCCGGAGUUGCUAGUAACCGCAGGUCAGCUAUACUGCGGUGAAUACGUUCCCGGGUCUU